UACGUAGGGUGCAAGCGUUGUCCGGAAUUAUUGGGCGUAAAGAGCUCGUAGGCGGUUUGUCGCGUCGGAUGUGAAAACCUGGGGCUUAACUCCGGGCCUGCAUUCGAUACGGGCAGACUAGAGUUCGGUAGGGGAGACUGGAAUUCCUGGUGUAGCGGUGAAAUGCGCAGAUAUCAGGAGGAACACCGGUGGCGAAGGCGGGUCUCUGGGCCGAUACUGACACUGAGAAGCGAAAGCGUGGGGAGCGAACAGG
rnacentral:rRNA from 1 species